rnacentral:rRNA from 1 species
CUACGUGCCAGCAGCCGCGGUAAUACGGGGGGUGCGAGCGUUAAUCGGAAUAACUGGGCGUAAAGGGCACGCAGGCGGUGACUUAAGUGAGAUGUGAAAGCCCCGGGCUUAACCUGGGAAUUGCAUUUCAUACUGGGUCGCUAGAGUACUUUAGGGAGGGGUAGAAUUCCACGUGUAGCGGUGAAAUGCGUAGAGAUGUGGAGGAAUACCGAAGGCGAAGGCAGCCCCUUGGGAAUGUACUGACGCUCAUGUGCGAAAGCGUGGGGAGCAAACAGGAUUAGAUACCCUGGUAGUCCACGCUGUAAACGAUGUCGAUUUGGGGGUUGAACUUUGUGUUUGGCGCCCGUAGCUAACGUGAUAAAUCGACCGCCUGGGGAGUACGGCCGCAAGGUUAAAACUCAAAUGAAUUGACGGGGGCCCGCACAAGCGGUGGAGCAUGUGGUUUAAUUCGAUGCAACGCGAAGAACCUUACCUACUCUUGACAUCCAGAGAACAUUC